CCACUCAUUUAAAGAGUGCGUAAUAGCUCACUAGUCGAGAGAUCCUGCGCCGAAAAUGUCCGGGGCUCAAACUUACCACCGAAGCUACGGGCUUGCAUUAGCAAGCGGUAGGGGAGCGUCGUAAUCGGGCUGAAGUCGUACCGUAAGGAGCGGUGGACUGAUUACGAGUGAGAAUGUUGGCAUUAGUAGCGAGAUGUAGGUGAGAAUCCUACAGGCCGAAUAUCUAAGGUUUCCUCAGGAAGGCUCGUCCGCUGAGGGUUAGUCGGGACCUAAGCCGAGGCCGAAAGGCGUAGGCGAUGGACAAUCGGUUGAUAUUCCGAUACCACUACCAUCGUUAUUAUCGAGGGUGUGACGGAGAAGGAUAGUGUGUGCUAGCGAUUGGAAAUGCUAGUCUAAGCGUUUAGGGAGUUACGGUAGGCAAAUCCGCUGUAACAAUUCUGAGGCGUGAUGGGGAAGGCCAUAUAGGCCGAAGUACAUGAUUCCAUGCUUCCAAGAAAAGCAUCUAGAGAGAGAAGUAGUGCCCGUACCGCAAACCGACACAGGUAGAUGAGGAGAGAAUCCUAAGGCCGGCGGAAGAAUUGCAGUUAAGGAACUAGGCAAAUUGACCCCGUAAGUUCGCGAGAAGGGGUGCCUGCGAGAGCAGGCCGCAGAGAAUAGGCCCAAGCAACUGUUUAGCAAAAACACAGGUCUCUGCUAAAGCGCAAGCUGAUGUAUAGGGGCUGACGCCUGCCCGGUGCUGGAAGGUUAAGGGGAACACUUAGCGCAAGCGAAGGUGUGAACUUAAGCCCCAG
rnacentral:rRNA from 1 species